UACAGAGGUGGCAAGCGUUGUUCGGAAUUACUGGGCGUAAAGCGUGCGCAGGCGGUUAUGCAAGACAGAUGUGAAAUCCCCGGGCUUAACCUGGGAACCGCAUUUGUGACUGCAUAGCUGGAGUACGGCAGAGGGGGAUGGAAUUCCGCGUGUAGCAGUGAAAUGCGUAGAUAUGCGGAGGAACACCGAUGGCGAAGGCAGUCCCCUGGGCCUGUACUGACGCUCAUGCACGAAAGCGUGGGGAGCAAACAGG
rnacentral:rRNA from 1 species